GACGAACGCUGGCGGCGUGCUUAACACAUGCAAGUCGAACGAUGAAGUGGAGCUUGCUCCACGGAUUAGUGGCGAACGGGUGAGGAACACGUGAGAAACCUGCCUCGGAUUUUGGGAUAACAAAUGGAAACGUUUGCUAAUACCAAAUAACGUCGGAGAGUCACAUGACUUUCUGACGAAAGGAAUUCCGAUUCGAGAGGGUCUCGCGGCCUAUCAGCUUGUUGGCGGGGUAAUGGCCCACCAAGGCAACGACGGGUAGCUGGUCUGAGAGGAUGGUCAGCCACACUGGGACUGAGACACGGCCCAGACUCCUACGGGAGGCAGCAGUGGGGAAUCUUGCGCAAUGGGCGAAAGCCUGACGCAGCAACGCCGCGUGCGGGAAGAAGGCUUUCGGGCUGUAAACCGCUUUCAGCAGGAACGAAAAUGACGGUACCUGCAGAAGAAGGAGCGGCCAACUAUGU
rnacentral:rRNA from 1 species